AUUCAGAUGCUGAAUUUAACUGUUCAACUGCUGAACCACUCAACAGACAUGAACUAAAACUUACUUGACAGCU
ensembl:snoRNA